CACAGACCCCUGGGAGGUGUACUUUCCGGGUGCAGACCGCGAAUGGAUCGCAGCGUAUUCUGGGAAGUGUUGUUUUAUCGACCGGCCCCACGUGGAGACAGAUUUAGGCAUCCAAGCGAAAUGCGUGAGGCCAGCCCGACCUGCACUGAGGGAGAGAUUGCUUUGCAUAAAUCCACCCCUGUUUGAAAUCUAUCAAGUCUUGUUAAGCCCAACACAACAUCAUGUAGCACUUAUAGGAAUAAAAGGACUUAUGGUAUUAGAAUUACCUAAAAGAUGGGGGAAGA
rnacentral:lncRNA from 1 species